AUACAUGAGAGACAUAGAAAGCCCAUGAUGCUAAAUAAUAAAAUCUAGAUCUCUAUAUCCCACUGACACCUGACCCACAAGAUCCUUAAAUAUCAGAAGCAUUCCCUAAUGUCAAACUACCCCUGAUCACUGCUCCAAUUUCCAGAAAAAGAAUUUCACUCGUAAGUGCAAAAUUCUAAACUCCACUAGAAAAGGCCUGUAUUCUAUUGCUAUGUUAUUUGAAUGAACAAAUAUCAAAAUUCUGAAGCAACAGAGAGAAGAGGAAAGAAAAAGAUUUUUUUUAUUUCAAGUUAAUGAUCUACUAUUGCUGGAUCCUAG
rnacentral:misc_RNA from 1 species